AAUAUUGGACAAUGGGGGCAACCCUGAUCCAGCCAUGCCGCGUGUGUGAAGAAGGUCUUCGGAUUGUAAAGCACUUUAAGUUGGGAGGAAGGGCUUUAGGUUAAUUCCCUGAAGUGUUGACGGUACCAACAGAAUAAGCAGCGGCUAACUCUGGGCCAGCAGCCGCGGUAAUACAGAGGGUGCAAGCGUUAAUCGGAAUUACUGGGCGUAAAGCGCGCGUAGGUGGUUCAGUAAGAUGGGUGUGAAAGCCCCGGGCUUAACCUGGGAACAGCUUUCAUAACUGCUGGGCUAGGGUACGGUAGAGGGUAGUGGAAUUGCCUGUGUAGCGGUGAAAUGCGUAGAUAUAAGAAGGAACACCAGUGGCGAAGGCGACUACCUGGACUGAUACUGACACUGAGGUGCGAAAGCGUGGGGAGCAAAC
rnacentral:rRNA from 1 species